CCUACGGGGUGCAGCAGUGGGGAAUAUUGGGCAAUGGGCGCAAGCCUGACCCAGCGACGCCGCGUGAGGGAAGACGGUCUUCGGAUUGUAAACCUCUUGCAGCAGGGAAGACAAAAGGACGGUACCUGCAGAAGAAGCCACGGCUAACUACGUGCCAGCAGCCGCGGUAAUACGGAGGUGGCAAGCGUUAUCCGGAAUUACUGGGUGUAAAGGGUGGGUAGGCGGGGCUGCAAGUCAGAUGUGAAAAUUAUGGGCUCACCCCAUAACCUGCGUCUGAAACUGUAGCUCUUGAGAGUGGGAGCGGUAAACGGAAUUCCCGGUGUAGCGGUGACAUGCGUAGAUAUCGGGAGGAACACCAGUGGCGCAGGCGGUUUACUGGACCACAACUGACGCUGAGCCAC
rnacentral:rRNA from 1 species